CGGCGGACGGGUGAGUAACGCGUGGGUAACCUGCCUCAUACAGGGGGAUAACAGUCAGAAAUGACUGCUAAUACCGCAUAAGACCACGGUACCGCAUGGUACAGUGGUAAAAACUCCGGUGGUAUGAGAUGGACCCGCGUCUGAUUAGGUAGUUGGUGGGGUAACGGCCUACCAAGGCGACGAUCCAUAGCCGACCUGAGAGGGUGACCGGCCACAUUGGGACUGAGACACGGCCCAA
rnacentral:rRNA from 1 species